UACAGAGGUCCCAAGCGUUGUUCGGAUUCAUUGGGCGUAAAGGGCGCGUAGGCGGGCCCGUCAGUCAGGGGUGAAAUCCCACGGCCCAACCGUGGAAGUGCCUCUGAUACUGCGGGCCUCGAGGGGGAUAGGGGCGUGCGGAACUCAGGGUGGAGCGGUGAAAUGCGUAGAUAUCCUGAGGAACACCGGUGGCGAAAGCGGCGCGCUGGAUCCCUUCUGACGCUGAGGCGCGAAAGCCAGGGGAGCAAACGGG
rnacentral:rRNA from 1 species